rnacentral:rRNA from 1 species
GACGAACGCUGGCGGCGCGCCUAGUACAUGCAAGUAGAACGCACAGUUUAUACCGUAGCUUGCUACACCAUAGACUGUGAGUUGCGAACGGGUGAGUAACGCGUAGGUAACCUGCCUGGUAGCGGGGGAUAACUAUUGGAAACGAUAGCUAAUACCGCAUAAUAUUGAUUAUUGCAUGAUAAUUGAUUGAAAGAUGCUAUUGCAUCACUACCAGAUGGACCUGCGUUGUAUUAGCUAGUAGGUGAGGUAACGGCUCACCUAGGCGACGAUACAUAGCCGACCUGAGAGGGUGAUCGGCCACACUGGGACUGAGACACGGCCCAGACUCCUACGGGAGGCAGCAGUAGGGAAUCUUCGGCAAUGGACGAAAGUCUGACCGAGCAACGCCGCGUGAGUGAAGAAGGUUUUCGGAUCGUAAAGCUCUGUUGUAAGAGAAGAACGGGUGUGAGAGUGGAAAGUUCACACUGUGACGGUAUCUUACCAGAAAGGGACGGCUAACUACGUG